UUUGAAGAAUGAAAAAUAAUCUACUUUCUUUCCUCUACAAACUGGUUUUUAAUUCAAAUCUGUAGCAUUAACCAUUCAAAAGUUAUUCAAGAAAAACUAAGAAAUUUGGACAAUAUCCCAUAAGACAAUGCAGCCGUAUAGGACUAUACAUCGUAUGAUUUUUGAGACGUUGCCGCUCUGCACUUCCAGGCUGUAUCUGUAGUGGGUAAUGACUAAUGAAUCAAAUCAAUUUAAUUAUACUUAUUCAACGAAUGAAUCUGGAUGUUUUCAAAAACAUUAGGUAAUUGUUUGUACGUCAACAAAUUGUACCUGACUGUACUUAACAUUCCUAUACAAAAUUUUCUAUUGUUUUUUUUUUGUGUGAGUUCGUCUCCCCUUAAGCACACCUGUUUCAAUGCUUAUUGCUGUAUUGGAAAUGAAAGGUCGGUGUUGUGGAUGCCCACUUAGAAUAGCUGUUGCAAUUUCACUUCUAAUUAACCUGAUUUCAAAUAACACUAUACUGAAUGGUAGCGGUUCAGACUAUCUCAAAAACUUACUUAAUGAAGAAGAAUCACAAUAUCUAUGGUACCACAUGGCACUUCAAACCAUUCUAUCAUUUUUAGCGAUCGCAAUCCUAGUCAUAUUCGAUAACCAUUCCUCGAAAAUUCAAAUGGCGUUAUUUUGCUGCGUUUCUCUUUCGUUAAUAUACGAAAUCAUCGGCGUUAUUUUAUUCGCAAUUGGACCAGCAUCAGCACCUGCCAGCAAAAAUGUUCGAGUAACUUGGGGAAUGAUAGACCCUGAUGCAGACAGGGAAGAAAAACCAGCCCCUGCCUCAUUAUUGAUCGCAUUGUUGUUGUUGAUAUGCUAUUUAAGUAGGUAAAAUUACGUUUUGGCAAAAUUUGUAUGAAUCAGAAAUUUAAUUUUUUGCAAUUACGAGUAGGUCUAUACAUAGAUAAGUAUUAAAUGUCUGCAUGUUUUCAAGGUUUCAAGUUGUGGACGAGUAUUGUCACUUUUGCUUUUGCAAUAGAAAUAUCAAAACGAAUAUCUCGAAGGAACCAGACCUCAUCUGUGUAAAUACUUCCAUCAAGUAUAUUUUAUUUAUACUGAUUUUUUUAAAAUAAAAUUUGUUUGAGUUGGUUAAAAAUUAUAUAGACUGGAAUAAAAUUUCAUUUCCUGAGUUCAAAACGUAUAUUAAUUGUUGUCGACUUUUUAUUCAUAUUUUUUUCAUAUCUGCAACCUAGGUAGGUAUUUAUUUGUUUUUUGUUUUUUUUUUUCAAGAAAUGAAUGCCUAAAAGCAAGCUUUAAAAAAAGUAUUA